rnacentral:rRNA from 1 species
UACGGGGGGGGCAAGCGUUGUUCGGAAUUACUGGGCGUAAAGGGCUCGUAGGCGGCCAACUAAGUCAUACGUGAAAUCCCCCGGCUUAACCGGGGAACUGCGUCUGAUACUGGAUGGCUUGAGUUCGGGAGAGGGAUGCGGAAUUCCAGGUGUAGCGGUGAAAUGCGUAGAUAUCAGGAGGAACACCGGUGGCGAAGGCGGGUCUCUGGGCAGUAACUGACGCUGAGGAGCGAAAGCGUGGGGAGCGAACAGG